rnacentral:lncRNA from 1 species
GUUAUGGUGUAUGUAAGGAUUAGGAUGGCAUGUAAUGGUGUAAUUUGCAGCUGUAUGUAACUCAUUACAUAAUGUGAACUCAUGCUUUUUGCAACUCAUGUAUAAUAACAUAAAACAAUAUUUAUUUUUUAUUCAAUUUGAAGUUUAUUUUUAUUUUUGAAUUUUAUUUCAUGGUCUUUGAGGGAUGAUUUUAUGUAUGUAAUGUUGCAACUGUUUUU